GGCGGUUCUCAGGUGUUGCACCCUGGAAUCGGCUCCCUUCUUUCUGGUUCUGGGUUUGUCACCUGAGAAUUGCA
rfam:Myotis lucifugus cont2.20739, whole genome shotgun sequence.